UGUAGCACUGUGGUAGAGUGCAUUCCUAGAAAGCAUGCAGCCCUGGGUUCAAUUCCCAGCA
rnacentral:tRNA from 1 species